rnacentral:rRNA from 1 species
GACGAACGCUGGCGGCGUGCCUAACACAUGCAAGUCGAACGGAAGUAAGUGCUUCGGUAUUUACUUUAGUGGCGAACGGGUGAGUAACGCGUGAGGAACCUGCCUUUCAGUGGGGGACAACAGUUGGAAACGACUGCUAAUACCGCAUGACGCUUCUUAGGGGCAUCCCUGAGAAGUCAAAGCUUUAUGUGCUGAAAGAUGGCCUCGCGUCUGAUUAGCUAGUUGGUGGGGUAACGCCCACCAAGGCGACGAUGGAUAGGGGUUCUGAGAGGAAGGUCCCCCACAUUGGUACUGAGACACGGACCAA